rnacentral:rRNA from 1 species
UACGUAGGGGCCUAGCGUUGUCCGGAUUUAUUGGGCGUAAAGAGCUCGUAGACGGCUAUCUAAGUCGGGUGUGAAAGCCCCGGGCUCAACCUGGGAAUUGCAUUCGAGACUGAAUAGCUAGGGUACGGUAGAGGGAAGCGGAAUUUCCGGUGUAGCGGUGAAAUGCGUAGAUAUCGGAAGGAACAUCAGUGGCGAAAGCGGCUUCCUGG